rnacentral:pre_miRNA from 1 species
GGGGGGAGGCCAGAUCCUGGGCUGUGUCCCGGCGCCCUGUGCUCCGAAGCCUGCGCUGUUGGAUUCGCGCUCCCGGGCCGCAGCCCCCU